rnacentral:rRNA from 1 species
AUUGAACGCUGGCGGCAUGCCUUACACAUGCAAGUCGAACGGCAGCACGGGGGCAACCCUGGUGGCGAGUGGCGGACGGGUGAGUAAUGCAUCGGAACGUGCCCUGAAGUGGGGGAUAACGCAGCGAAAGCUACGCUAAUACCGCAUAUUCUGUGAGCAGGAAAGCAGGGGAUCGCAAGACCUUGCGCUUUGGGAGCGGCCGAUGUCGGAUUAGCUAGUUGGUGGGUAAAGGCCUACCAAGGCGACGAUCCGUAGCGGGUCUGAGAGGAUGAUCCGCCACACUGGGACUGAGACACGGCCCAGACUCCUACGGGAGGCAGCAGUGGGGAAUUUUGGACAAUGGGCGAAAGCCUGAUCCAGCCAUGCCGCGUGAGUGAAGAAGGCCUUC